ensembl:snoRNA small nucleolar RNA, C/D box 71
AGUGCUGUUGGAGGAUGAAGCCUUUGAGUGAUCCAUCAGCAGAGCAUGAUGUUGCCAUGCUGACACUCGUGCUGCUGACAAUGCACU